UACGUAGGGGGCAAGCGUUGUCCGGAUUUAUUGGGCGUAAAGAGCGUGUAGGCGGUUCGGUAGGUCCGUUGUGAAAACUCGAGGCUCAACCUCGAGACGCCGAUGGAAACCCUCGAACUAGAGUCCGGAAGAGGAGAGUGGAAUUCCUGGUGUUGCGGUGAAAUGCGCAGAUAUCAGGAAGAACACCCGUGGCUAAGGCGGCUCUCUAGUACGGUACUGACGCUGAGACGCGAAAGCGUGGGGAGCGAACAGG
rnacentral:rRNA from 1 species